UGGGGAAUAUUGCACAAUGGGCGCAAGCCUGAUGCAGCCAUGCCGCGUGUAUGAAGAAGGCCUUCGGGUUGUAAAGUACUUUCAGCGAGGAGGAAGGCGUUGUGGUUAAUAACCGCAACGAUUGACGUUACUCGCAGAAGAAGCACCGGCUAACUCCGUGCCAGCAGCCGCGGUAAUACGGAGGGUGCAAGCGUUAAUCGGAAUUACUGGGCGUAAAGCGCACGCAGGCGGUCUGUCAAGUCGGAUUGGAAAUCCCCGGGCUCAACCUGGGAACUGCAUCCGAAACUGGCAGGCUAGAGUCUUGUAGAGGGGGGUAGAAUUCCAGGUGUAGCGGUGAAAUGCGUAGAGAUCUGGAGGAAUACCGGUGGCGAAGGCGGCCCCCUGGACAAAGACUGACGCUCAGGUGCGAAAGCGUGGGGAGCAAACA
rnacentral:rRNA from 1 species